GACGUAGGGCGCGAGCGUUGUCCGGAAUUAUUGGGCGUAAAGAGCUCGUAGGCGGUCUGUCGCGUCGGCUGUGAAAACCCGAGGCUCAACCUCGGGCCUGCAGUCGAUACGGGCAAACUAGAGUACUGCAGGGGAGACUGGAAUUCCUGGUGUAGCGGUGAAAUGCGCAGAUAUCAGGAGGAACACCGGUGGCGAAGGCGGGUCUCUGGGCAGUAACUGACGCUGGAGGAGCGAAAGCGUGGGGAGCGAACAGG
rnacentral:rRNA from 1 species